rnacentral:rRNA from 1 species
UACAGAGGGUGCAAGCGUUAUUCGGAAUUACUGGGCGUAAAGAGCGCGUAGGCGGCUCGAUAAGUCUGAUGUGAAAUCCCUGGACUCAAUUCAGGAAGUGCAUUGGAUACUGUCGAGCUCGAGUGAAGGAGAGGAAAGCGGAAUUCCCGGUGUAGAGGUGAAAUUCGUAGAUAUCGGGAGGAACAACAGAGGCGAAGGCGGCUUUCUGGACUUCAACUGACGCUGAGGCGCGAAAGCCAGGGGAGCAAACGGG